rnacentral:rRNA from 1 species
CAGCAGUAGGGAUCUUCCGCAAUGGACGAAAGUCUGACGGAGCAACGCCGCGUGAGUGAUGAAGGUUUUCGGAUCGUAAAACUCUGUUAUUAGGGAAGAACAAAUGUGUAAGUAACUGUGCACAUCUUGACGGUACCUAAUCAGAAAGCCACGGCUAACUACGUGCCAGCAGCCGCGGUAAUACGUAGGUGGCAAGCGUUAUCCGGAAUUAUUGGGCGUAAAGCGCGCGUAGGCGGUUUCUUAAGUCUGAUGUGAAAGCCCACGGCUCAACCGUGGAGGGUCAUUGGAAACUGGGAAACUUGAGUACAGAAGAGGAAAGUGGAAUUCCAUGUGUAGCGGUGAAAUGCGCAGAGAUAUGGAGGAACACCAGUGGCGAAGGCGACUUUCUGGUCUGUAACUGACGCUGAUGUGCGAAAGCGUGGGGAUCAAACAGGAUUAGAUACCCUGGUAGUCCACGCCGUAAACGAUGAGUGCUAAGUGUUAGGGGGUUUCCGCCCCUUAGUGCUGCAGCUAACGCAUUAAGCACUCCGCCUGGGGAGUACGACCGCAAGGUUGAAACUCAAAGGAAUUGACGGGGCCC